rnacentral:rRNA from 1 species
AUGGCCCGCAUUGCGGCGUUCUUGCUGGUGGCGCUGCUCUCCUUAGACGUGCAUCUCGCGCAGUCCGCGUCGUGCCGAUCAUGCCCGCCGACAAAGCCUUCCCAGCCUCCACCGUGUAAGCACAAGUCUUCACCAUCGUCCAUACCCUGCCCUCCACCUUCA